GCAAUAGCUCAGUUGUAGAGCCCCUGCUUCGCAUGCGGGGAGACCUGGGUUUGAUUCCCGGCUGC
rnacentral:tRNA from 1 species